UACGGAGGGGGCUAGCGUUGUUCGGAAUUACUGGGCGUAAAGCGCACGUAGGCGGCUUUGUAAGUUAGAGGUGAAAGCCCGGGGCUCAACUCCGGAAUUGCCUUUAAGACUGCAUCGCUUGAACGUCGGAGAGGUGAGUGGAAUUCCGAGUGUAGAGGUGAAAUUCGUAGAUAUUCGGAAGAACACCAGUGGCGAAGGCGACUCACUGGACAUGUAUUGACGCUGAGGUGCGAAAGCGUGGGGAGCAAACAGG
rnacentral:rRNA from 1 species